ACGUAGGGUGCAGGCGUUAAUCGGAAUUACUGGGCGUAAAGCGUGCGUAGGCGGUUUGUUAAGACAGGUGUGAAAUCCCCGGGCUCAACCUGGGAACUGCCUUUGUGACUGCAUGGCUAGAGUACGGUAGAGGGGGAUGGAAUUCCGCGUGUAGCAGUGAAAUGCGUAGAUAUGCGGAGGAACACCGAUGGCGAAGGCAAUCCCCUGGACCUGUACUGACGCUCAUGCACGAAAGCGUGGGGAGCAAACAGGA
rnacentral:rRNA from 1 species